rnacentral:rRNA from 1 species
GAUGAACGCUGGCGGCGUGUUUAACACAUGCAAGUCGAACGGAAAGGCCCAAGCUUGCUUGGGUACUCGAGUGGCGAACGGGUGAGUAACACGUGGGCGAUCUGCCCUGCACUUCGGGAUAAGCCUGGGAAACUGGGUCUAAUACCGGAUAGGACGAUGGUUUGGAUGCCAUUGUGGAAAGUUUUUUCGGUGUGGGAUGAGCUCGCGGCCUAUCAGCUUGUUGGUGGGGUAAUGGCCUACCAAGGCGUCGACGGGUAGCCGGCCUGAGAGGGUGUACGGCCACAUUGGGACUGAGAUACGGCCCAGACUCCUACGGGAGGCAGCAGUGGGGAAUAUUGCACAAUGGGCGCAAGCCUGAUGCAGCGACGCCGCGUGGGGGAUGACGGCCUUCGGGUUGUAAACUCCUUUCGCUAGGGACGAAGCGUUUUUGUGACGGUACCUGGAGAAGAAGCACCGGCUAACUACGUG